rnacentral:rRNA from 1 species
AUGGUGGCGCCCGAGGUGAUCGCGGCGGCGGGCCUCGGGAUGCUGGCGGGCGUGGCGGGCGUGGCGACGGCGAACCGGACGACGGGCGACGGGCUGCCGGCGGCGUACAGGUGGAACGCACGGCCCCGUUGCUCCACGUGCCGCGGCACCGGCCGGGAGGAGUGCCUCUGCAGCCGUUGGUCCGACGGCGACGUCGGCUGCGGGACGUGCUCCGGCUCCGGCCGCAAGCGGUGCCGCAGCUGCGGAGGCUCUGGCACUGGCCGGCAACUCCCGGCGCGACUCAUCGUCCAGCAGCAGAAGCUUCCGAACGCACACGGGCGCCGCGGAGACCACAACUGA